GAAGCUUACCAGACAGUCGCCGCUUCGUCGUCGUCCUUUCGGGGAGACGGGCGGAGGGGAGGAAAGUCCGGGCUCCAUAGGGCAGGGUGCCAGGUAACGCCUGGGGGGGAAACCCACGACCAGUGCAACAGAGAGCAAACCGCCGAUGGCCCACGUAAGUGGGAUCAGGUAAGGGUGAAAGGGUGCGGUAAGAGCGCACCGCGCGGCUGGUAACAGUCCGUGGCACGGUAAACUCCACCCGGAGCAAGGCCAAAUAGGGGUUCAUAAGGUACGGCCCGUACUGAACCCGGGUAGGCUGCUUGAGCCAGUGAGCGAUUGCUGGCCUAGAUGAAUGACUGUCCACGACAGAACCCGGCUUAUCGGUCAGUUUCACCU
rnacentral:RNase_P_RNA from 1 species